AGCAUAUCAAUAAGCGGAGGAAAAGAAACUAACAAGGAUUCCCCUAGUAACUGCGAGUGAAGCGGGAAAAGCUCAAAUUUAAAAUCUGGUGGUCUUUGGCCAUCCGAGUUGUAGUCUGGAGAAGUGCUUUCCGCGUUGGACCGUGUACAAGUCUCUUGGAACAGAGCGUCAUAGAGGGUGAGAAUCCCGUCUUUGACACGGACUACCAAUGCUUUGUGAUGCGCUCUCAAAGAGUCGAGUUGUUUGGGAAUGCAGCUCAAAAUGGGUGGUAAAUUCCAUCUAAAGCUAAAUAUUGGCGAGAGACCGAUAGCGAACAAGUACCGUGAGGGAAAGAUGAAAAGCACUUUGGAAAGAGAGUUAAACAGUACGUGAAAUUGCUGAAAGGGAAACGCUUGAAGUCAGUCGCGUUGGCCGGAACUCAGCCUUGCUUUUGCUAGGUGCACUUUCUGGUUGACGGGCCAGCAUCAAUUUUGAUUGUUGGAUAAAGGUUGGGGGAAUGUGGCACCUUCGGGUGUGUUAUAGCCCUCAGUCACAUACAACAGUUGGGAUUGAGGAUCUCAGCACGCCUUUAUGGCCGGGGUUCGCCCACGUUCGUGCUUAGGAUGCUGGCAUAAUGGCUUUAAACGACCCGUCUUGAAACACGGACCAAGGAGUCUAACAUGCCUGCGAGUGUUUGGGUGGAAAACCCGAGCGCGUAAUGAAAGUGAAAGUUGGGAUCUCUGUCAUGGAGAGCACCGACGCCCGGACCUGACCUUCUGUGACGGCUCCGCGGUAGAGCAUGUAUGUUGGGACCCGAAAGAUGGUGAACUAUGCCUGAAUAGGGUGAAGCCAGAGGAAACUCUGGUGGAGGCUCGUAGCGAUUCUGACGUGCAAAUCGAUCGUCAAAUUUGGGUAUAGGGGCGAAAGACUAAUCGAA
rnacentral:rRNA from 1 species